rnacentral:rRNA from 1 species
CCAAUAGCGUAUAUUAAAGUUGUUGCAGUUAAAAAGCUCGUAGUUGAAUUUCGGGACCAAUAUGUCGGUCGUGCUUCGGUACGUACUUGCAUUAUUGGUUUCUCCCUUCUGCAGAACCAUGAUGUCAUUAAUUUGGUGUCUUGGGGAAUCAGGACUGUUACUUUGAAAAAAUUAGAGUGUUUAAAGCAGGCCCACGCUUGAAUACAUUAGCAUGGAAUAAUGCAAUAGGCCGUUUGAUUCUAUUUUGUUGGUUUCUAGGAUCGACGUAAUGAUUAAUAGGGAUAGUUGGGGGCAUUAGUAUUCAAUUGUCAGAGGUGAAAUUCUUGGAUUUAUUGAAGACUAACUACUGCGAAAGCAUUUGCCAAGGAUGUUUUCAUUAAUCAAGAACGAAAGUUAGGGGAUCGAAGACGAUCAGAUACCGUCGUAGUCUUAACCAUAAACUAUGCCGACUAGGGAUCGGAUGAUGUUAUUUUUGAUGACUCAUUCGGCGCCUUACG